rnacentral:lncRNA from 1 species
CACGGAGCCCCUCUGGGGAGAAGGCGGCCUCCCCGCCUCUCACGGGGCUGGCGCGUCCUCUGCCCCAGCCAGUUGUCCCUGGAGGAGCCACCAGGUCCCCAGCCCCAGUGCCGCCUGCAUCCACUCUGAGACCCGGACAAGGGACUCGGGCUCCUCGCUGCUUUGACAUCAGCCGUGGUCCCGAGUGACCACGUGCUGGACAGAGAACUCAGUCAGUGACGAGCGGCAGCCCAAGCCGGGUCCUGGUGUGCCAGGCGCUGUCCCGCGUGCCCUGCCAUGAGCCACGCAGCCGGUGCCGGGGAACCGCGGGCCCAGUCUGCCCCACUGGCCCUGCACAUGCGGCUCCCGGCUCCUGCUGCCACUCAGAGCUGACGACCACCUCCCCCCUCACCACGCUGCCAUCAAGCCAGAGGCCACGGGCAUCGUGCCUAGAACGAGUGGUGGCUUCCCCGCCUCAGCCACUCCUGUGGCCAUGCAGUCCCCUUGCUAGCUCCCGGGGCUGGAGCAGACUGAACGCUGUUUGCUGAUCAUCUACUAUGUGCUGCGUGUUGAGCAGGAAGAAUCGCUGUCGCAGACUGGUCACGGGCACCCACGCACACGCAGGUCACCCAGGAGCGAGUGCAGAAGCCCUCAGCCUCUGCUCCGGACGGGCCGGCCUGCACCCACAGCCCCUCGAGGCGUCUGGCCUAGAGCAUGGAGCUGAUCCUGAGAACGAGACCCUUUCCUGACACCACCCAGGAGCCAUGGGACUGCAGGGGGCUUUGCCGGCCCAGCCUGCUCCUGCCCCUGGGAGGAAGGGACAGACUCCGGCCGCCUGGCCCUUCACAGGCCCCUGUGCUUCCCGGAUCCCUCUCUGAGGGCCAGACUCACUUCACCUCUACACGCCCUGCUGCCUGGAUCCACGCCUGCCUUUGGGGUGGAAGAAGAGACUCGGACUCCGGAGACCGAGCUGAAGGGACGGUGGGCGUGCGCAGCAUCAUCCAACCUGCUGACUGUGAGGGAACCGAUCGACGUCACAGGAGGGACAGUGCUGAAAGGAGCACUGGCCCGGGCUCAGCUGCCUUCCACCUUUCACAGCUAGUUUGCAAUUUAAGGACCACAAGCCAUUUGCUGCAAGGUUCAGAGGCACAGCAGCCUGGAGAGACGAAGGAAGGUGACUUAGAAAGGCGCACUCGCGUGUUGCCCCAUUUCAGCACGCGCUGCUCUGGACAGGAUGUGUCCGGGACACUUUCUCCCCACGGGCGUGAGCCUGCGCUGGACCCGGGCUGACACGGCCCAUAGGACACCUGGUCCCCGUGGGACACUCCCGAGGAUCGGCCGCAGCUGCCUCUGCGCGGCCCUCGCUUAGGAGCUCGUGGGUCGAGUCCAGCGUAACUGACUAAGACGAAGAAGGGGGCAGCAGCCAUUCCUUAGGGCAAAGGGGCCUCGCAAACUGAAUGGCUGCUCGGGCUCCGAGUUCCAGACCACAGAGCCUGGCUCUGGCAGAGGUAAGAGGAGGACACGCAGCCCAGCCCUGGGAGCCCAGGGACCAAAGGCAAAGGCAGAGGCCAGGGGUCAGUGCACAGUGGCCACCACAGCAGCGGGACUCUGGCCGGGACCUUGCGGUCACCACUGCUGGACCUCCAGAGUGCAUGGGGCCAGGGGCACCUCACAGACCUGGAGGCUGCCUUGCUUCUUCAACCUCUGGCCACAGCGGGGGAGCUUACCGUGGGGUUUCAGCGGCACCCGCCAUCCAGCUGACUGGAGUCUUGGAACGGGGUGGCGUCCUCGCGCGUGGGAGCAUGGCGGUGCCAUCCCCGGGCCUCGGACUUCCCACAGACAGGAGGUGCUCGGUGGGGACAGCCCAUGACAACCGAGCACAGUGCGUUCCCUAAGGCUGCCAUAGCCGAGUACCAUGACCUGGUCACCACACAACAGCACUGACCGCCUCCCAGCUCCAGGUCCAGAUCAGGAGCUCGGGACCCCUGCAAGGUUCUCUGGGCUCUGGGAAGCCUUCCCGCCCUCAGCCUUGGCCAGGUCACAGCCUCCAUUUCCACCAGGCCCCCUCGUCUGCCACUGUGGCUGUCUUCUUCUGAGGGUGCCAGUUGUGAUGGUUGAUUAUGUCAACUUGAAUAAAGGACACCUGCUGUACUGGCUCAGCACAGUUCUGGGUGUGGAAGACUCACCCUAGGGCAGCUUGUCAUGCUAUAAAGGGAAAUGAAGAAGGACGACAAGGCUGUUUCUAGCUUCUUCAGAGGAGCCCAGUCUUCACCCACUCCAUCGCAGAGCCUUCGGCCUCCUGAUCCAGACGCGCUUGGGACACCACAGGAAGCUCCAGGCCUCGGCUGGAUCCUUCGGGUCCCCAGUGGGCAGGCAGAGCCUCUGCGCUCUUCAGCCCCGACUGCGGGCGGCCACUGUAGGCCAACUGUAGUCCUUAUGUAUUUGCAUGUCUCACAUUAGCUGUUUCUCUAGUAAUCACUGAUGGAUACACCAGUCAUGUCCAAGAUGGGACAUGUCACCCUAAAUAACUGAUGACAUCGGCAGUGACCUGAUUUCAAGGUCAUGUCCCAAGGUACAGGCGUCAAGACCUCAGCGUAUUCUUCUUGGCAGACCCAAAGGAAUCCAUGAUAUGCCACCACGAUCUUCCCAUUUGGUGUUUGUUUUGCAUUCUUCUGUUGCAGGACUGGGGAUUGAACGCAGGGCCUCAUGCAUGCUGGACAAGUGUCCUACCCCCAAGCCACAUCCCCAGCCCUUUUUAGUUUUGUUUUUUUCUUUUUUUUUGGAAGCAGGAUUUUGCUAAGUUGCCCAGGCUGGGCUCAAACUUGCCAUUCUCUUGCCUCAUCCUCCCAAGUGCUGGGAUUACAGGCAUGCCACUGUGCCCAGCUAGAGCCGAGGCUUUCCACCUAGGUCAGUGGGUACAACUCACAGGGCCCGUAGACUUGGACAGGAAAGACUUGCGUCUCACUCUCAUUGACCCUAACUGAACUCAGCGUACCGGCAUUCAUUAUGUGGGCAGUUAUGUGGGCAGUGGGCCAGGACUGGCAGCCUCUGAGGCUAGAGGAGGCUCCGAGACACUUCAAAACCCUGCUGGGCACCAGGUGAGAGUGUCCCGACCAGAGGAGCAGGUGCGCAAUGUUCCAGCUGUUCCAGAACAAGGCAGCCUUGAACUGGUGUCUGAGGAAGUGGAAACGCCCAGUGGAAAUGCAGCAACCCAUUUGGCUGUGGCUACCACACAGACUAUGAGAACCAGGUGGUAUGAGGCGGAGAGGCCCGUGGGUGGAACUUAGAAGAUCUCCACGGAUUCCACCACAGUGCAUCCGAUUGCAUUUAUUUUUAUGUGUCCUUCACUGUUUCCCAAAUCUCAGAAUUUGUGUCUUUCAUCAAUAUAAGAACAUUGUCAGAAAAGAUCUUUGCAGAGCUUGUGCAUCCCUCAGGCUCUGUUGUCUCUUUCUGGGGCACAGUUCUAUGUAUGCUCAGCCCUUUGCGACAUCUCCUCACCAUCAUUUCCUUUGUCGUAUUUUCCAUCUGCUCCUUUGCCUCGAGCUCUGAGCGAUUCCUUCAGCUCUGUCUUCCAGGCAGCAGUUAAUCGCCCCUUUUGUUAUUUGCUCUUUCUGUUGUCGUUUCUGAUUGCUCCAGCCUUUUAGUUUCUGGAAGUAAUGCCUUACUUUUCAGCAGAACCAGUUUUGAAAGCAUGGUAACCAUGCUCCUUUCCAUGUUUUGAAUUUCACUCGGUUUCUGUAACAAGUUUAAGCAUCUCCAUUUUAUAACCUCGGACAAUUUCUGUUCUGAUUUCCUUUAGGAUUUCACUCUUCUAUGUGUUAUUUCG